rnacentral:rRNA from 1 species
AUUGAACGCUGGCGGCAGGCCUAACACAUGCAAGUCGAACGAGUGGCGGACGGGUGAGUAAUGACUGGGAAACUGCCUGAUGGAGGGGGAGAGCUACUGGAAACGGUAGCUACUAACGCCUACCAUCAGCAGUGCCCAGAUGGGAUUAGCUUGUUGGUGGGGUAACGGCUCACAAAGACGACGAUCCCUUGCUGGUCUGAGAGGAUGAAAAGCGACAUGGGAACUGAGACACGGGCCAGACUCCUACGGGAGGCAGCAGUGGGGAAUAUUGCACAAUGGGCGCAAGCCUGAUGCAGCCAUGCCGCGUGUAUGAAGAAGGCCUUCGUGUUGUAAAGUACUUUCAGCGGGGAGGCGUUACCCGCAGAAGAAGCACCGGCUAACUCCGUGCCAGCAGCCGCGGUAAUAC